rnacentral:rRNA from 1 species
AGCAGCCGCGGUAAUUCCAGCUCCAAUAGCGUAUAUUAAAGUUGUUGCAGUUAAAAAGCUCGUAGUUGAAUUUCGGGGUUAGUAGGUUGGUCGUGCCACUGGUACGUACUGGUCUCACUGAUUCCUCCUUCCUGAUGAACUGUAAUGCCAUUAAUUUGGUGUUGCAGGGAAACUGGACUGUUACUUUGAAAAAAUUAGAGUGUUUAAAGCAAGCUAACGCUUGAAUACAUUAGCAUGGAAUAAUGAAAUAGGACGUAUGAUCCUAUUUUGUUGGUUUCUAGGAUUGACGUAAUGAUUAAUAGGGAUAGUUGGGGGCAUUAGUAUUCAAUUGUCAGAGGUGAAAUUCUUGGAUUUAUUGAAGACUAACUACUGCGAAAGCAUUUGCCAAGGAUGUUUUUCAUUAAUCAAGAACGAAAGUUAGGGGAUCGAAGACGGUCAGAUACCGUCGUAGUCUUAACCAUAAACUAUGCCGACUAGGGAUCGGAUGAUGUUAAUUUUUUUAAUGACUCAUUCGGCGCCU